AUAACUGUAACUUUGUGCAUAGCACCCCAUUCUAGAAAACAGUUGAAAACUAGACAGACUACAGCAUCAAAGAAAAAAAAAAGAUACAUAAUAAUUAAAAAGUACUUCAGAAGUCCCCCAAAUUUCAGAAAAAUUUUUUUUAAAGUCUCUUCAAAUGUUCCACUUAAGGGUUAAAUAUGAAAAAUAUAAUUUCAUUUAUUUCUACAGUUACCCUUUUUUGAGGGAAAGGGUUGUUGGGGCAAGCAAAAACAGAAAAGAAAGAGAGUGUAAGAAUGCAGGGGAAGAUCCCAAUCUCCCAAAGUACAUGAUUCAAUGCAAUAGGAAUAUCAUGUCCAAACGAGAGAGAGAGAGAGAGAG
rnacentral:misc_RNA from 1 species